GUGUUGUAUGAAAGGAGAGACGGUUAGCACUCCCCUAGACAAGGAUGGAAUAACACAAAUAUUAGCCGGGGCACCUCUACUCGUGCGGGUAGAGCCGGCUAUAGUUUUUUU